UCGGGUUGUAAAGCACUUUUGUCCGGAAAGAAAACUUCUGCCCUAAUACGGCGGGAGGAUGACGGUACCGGAAGAAUAAGCACCGGCUAACUACGUGCCAGCAGCGCGGUAAUCGUAGGGUGCGAGCGUUAAUCGGAAUUACUGGGCGUAAAGCGUGCGCAGGCGGUUCGUUAAGACAGAUGUGAAAUCCCCGGGCUUAACCCGGGAACUGCAUUUGUGACUGGCGAGCUAGAGUAUGGCAGAGGGGGGUAGAAUUCCACGUGUAGCAGUGAAAUGCGUAGAGAUGUGGAGGAAUACCGAUGGCGAAGGCAGCCCCCUGGGCCAAUACUGACGCUCAUGCACGAAAGCGUGGGGAGCAAACAGGAUUAGAUACCCUGGUAGUCCACGCCCUAAACGAUGUCAACUAGUUGUUGGGGAUUCAUUUCCUUAGUAACGUAGCUAACGCGUGAAGUUGACCGCCUGGGGAGUACGGUCGCAAGAUUAAAACUCAAAGGAAUUGACGGGGACCCGCACAAGCGGUGGAUGAUGUGGAUUAAUUCGAUGCAACGCGAAAAACCUUACCUACCCUUGACAUGGUCGGAACCCUGCUG
rnacentral:rRNA from 1 species